rnacentral:rRNA from 1 species
AACGAACGCUGGCGGCAUGCCUAACACAUGCAAGUCGAACGAGACCUUCGGGUCUAGUGGCGCACGGCUGCGUAACGCGUGGGAACCUGCCCUUAGGUUCGCAAUAACUCCCCGAAAGAUGUGCUAAUACAGGAGAAUGUCUUCGCACCUAAGAUGUAUCGCCUUUGGAUGGGCCCGCGUUGGAUUAGCUAGUUGGUAGGGUAAAAGCCUACCAAGGCGAGGAUGCAUAGCUGGUCUGAGAGGAUGACAAGCCAGAAUGGGACUGAGGCACGGCCCAGAACGCGACGGAAGGGAGCAGUGGGGAAUAUUGGAGGAGGGGCGCAAGCCUGAUCAAGCAAUGCCGGGUGAGUGAUGCAGGGGUUAGGGUUGUAAAGCUCUUUUACCCGGGAUGAUAAUGACAGUAAUGGGAGAAGAAGCUCCGGCUAACUACGUG